rnacentral:lncRNA from 1 species
ACCUCGAAACGGGCAGGCAUCGCAAUUACCCUUGGAGAUCCGAACAGCAUAGAACAAUCUGGGCAGAAACAAUUAACAAAAAGACUGAGAAGAAAUUUCAACACAAGGCAAGCAUAGAAACAACACAAAACAUUUGGUUUACCAUUAUCCAUCGCAAUAAUCUUCAUGAACUCAUCCACAUCCAUCGCUCGAGUCUGAGCUUUGAUGCACUCAUCAUGAUUGUGUAAGAGCCCUUCUUCUGCAAUCCCACACUCUCGAGCCAGUGGCUGCUCCUCACACAGACAUUCCUUAACCUGAGUCUUCUUAGACGUCUCCUUCUGUAACUUGACCGAAUUCAAGAUGUCAGAGAGAACCUUCCGAUUCCUAGAAGCUUUAUCCCCAAUACUGACAGAAACCUUCUUGGAGGUUUGGUUCAGAGAAGCAGACGAC